AACGAACGCUGGCGGCAGGCUUAACACAUGCAAGUCGAACGCCCCGCAAGGGGAGUGGCAGACGGGUGAGUAACGCGUGGGAAUCUACCCAGUUCUACGGAACAACUGAGGGAAACUUCAGCUAAUACCGUAUACGCCCUACGGGGGAAAGAUUUAUCGGAAUUGGAUGAGCCCGCGUUGGAUUAGCUAGUUGGUGAGGUAACGGCUCACCAAGGCGACGAUCCAUAGCUGGUCUGAGAGGAUGAUCAGCCACACUGGGACUGAGACACGGCCCAGACUCCUACGGGAGGCGGCAGUGGGGAAUAUUGGACAAUGGGCGCAAGCCUGAUCCAGCCAUGCCGCGUGAGUGAUGAAGGCCUUAGGGUUGUAAAGCUCUUUCAGUGGGGACGAUAAUGACGGUACCCACAGAAGAAGCCCCGGCUAACUUCGUGCCAGCAGCCGCCGUAACAC
rnacentral:rRNA from 1 species